UAAACAAUUGUCAGUAACAGCAAAUAACCACUGCCUUUUCUCUAUUCCUUUUGUUGGCCCAUGCCUGUUCCCAGAAUCAAGAACACUAAUAUCCCAGAGCUAAUAAACAGUUAAAUGCAUUCAGGCUGCAUGUGAACAAAUAAAUGCACACAAAUACUGUUUUCCACCUAACUCUGUCAUGACUUUCUGUGCACCAAUCCAUUCCCAGUGGUCACGCAGCACUGCAACUAUUACGUAACUGCAGCAGUAAUCUCUGAACAACUGAUGCAUGGGAUUCUGCACACUGUCCUUUGACAUUUUGAGAAUUAUUACAGUGACUUAUGCAUUUCUGCUUCAUGGUACAUUCCUAGCAG